GACGAACGCUGGCGGCGUGCUUAACACAUGCAAGUCGAACGAUGAACUCCAGCUUGCUGGGGGGAUUAGUGGCGAACGGGUGAGUAACACGUGAGUAACCUGCCCUGGACUCUGGGAUAACCCCGAGAAAUCGGAGCUAAUACCGGAUAGGACCUGGAACCGCAUGGUUUUGGGUGGAAAGUUUUUCGGUCUGGGAUGGACUCGCGGCCUAUCAGCUUGUUGGUGAGGUAAUGGCUCACCAAGGCGUCGACGGGUAGCCGGCCUGAGAGGGUGACCGGCCACACUGGGACUGAGACACGGCCCAGACUCCUACGGGAGGCAG
rnacentral:rRNA from 1 species